rnacentral:misc_RNA from 1 species
UUCUUUUAUUUUCUUUUCUUUUCCUCUCAAAAUAAGAACCCAAAAAAAGUAUCUAGGUAUAGAUAUUUACCUUUGUUUCUAGAAGCAUAAAUUCUCUUUUCUUUAAGAAAAAAAAAAUCCUCUUUAAUUUUAUAAAAAAGUAAUGCUGAUCCCCUCUUUGCUUCUUUCAGAAAAUAUAUUAUAUCCUUACAAAUAUGAUAGGCAAGACAUUUUUUUUUUCCAUUAAUCAAUUGGUUUGAUUAGAUUAUAAUAAGAUGACCCUUUUUAUGAAUAUGUAUCUCUUUCUACAUUAUAUAUGUUUUUAUCAACUAACCUCUCUCACUUUUAUACUAAUUAAUUUUGGCAUGAAUAAUUUAUUUAUAAUAUAAUACAUAAAAAUUAAUCUAUAAAAG